UGUACAGUUGUUUAGUGAUCAGGGAUAAAUUUUCAGUGGUAGUUAUUUGUCACUGAAACUUAAUAAAGUGUAAUAUUGCUUGAUGCUUAAAAUGUAACUAUAAGGUUUUAGUCUGUUCAACUAGCUUUUUAUACGACUGCAAAAAUUGAAAAAUUUUUGGUCGUAUAUUGGUAUGAUGUUGGCAUCGUCGUCGUCGUCGCCCGAAUACUUUUAGUUUUCGCACUCUAACUUUAGUAAAAGUGAAUAGAAAUCUACGAAAAUUUUAACACAAGGUUUAUGACCACAAAAGGAAGGUUGGGAUUGAUUUUGGGAGUUUUGGUCCCAAUAUUUUAGGAAUUAGGGGCCACAAAGGGCCAAAUAAGCAUUUUCUUGGUUUUCGCACAAUAACUUUAGUAUAAGUAUAUAAAAGUCAAUGAAAUGUGAACACAAGGUUUAUGACCACAAAAGGAAGAUUGGGAUUGAUUUUUGGAGUUGAGGUCCCAACAGUUUAGGAAUUAGGGGCCAAAAAGGGGCCCAAAUAAGUAUUAUUCUUGGUUUUCGCACCAUAACUUAAGUAUAAGUAAAUAGAAAUCUAUGAAAUUUAAACACAAGGUUUAUGACCAUAAAAGGAAGGUUGGGUUUGAUUUUGGGAGUUUUGGUCUCAACAGUUUAGGAAUAAGGGGCCCAAAUGGUCCAAAAUUGAACUUUGUUUGAUUUCAUCAAAAAAUGAAUAAUUGGGGUUCUUUGAUAUGCCGAAUCUAACUGUGUAUGUAGAUUCUUAAGUUUUGGUCCCGUUUUCAAAUUGGUCUACAUUAAGGUCCAAAGGGUCCAAAAUUAAACUUAGUUUGAUUUUAACAAAACUUGAAUCCUUGGGGUUCUUUGAUAUGCUGAAUAUAAAAAUGUACUUAGAUUUUUUAUUAUUGGUCCAGUUUUCAAGUUGGUCCAAAUCGGGGUCCAAAAUUAAACUUUGUUUGAUUUCAUCAAAAAUUGAAUAAUUGGGGUUCUUUGAUUUGCCAAAUCUAACUGUGUAUGUAGAUUCUUACUUUUGGUCCCGUUUUCAAAUUGGUCUACAUUAAAGUUCAAAGGGUCCAAAAUUAAACUAAGUUUGAUUUUAACAAAAAAUGAAUUCUUAGGCUAUUUUAAU
rnacentral:lncRNA from 1 species